ACUGGGCCAAAAUUAAAUGCAAAAUGUAGAAAAAACACAGAACAAUUUAACUUAACCUACAUGAUGACGUGUGAGAGUAAUCCAUCUCGAGUUUGAAAAACUGCUUCUUUUAUUUCACAAUCCUGAAUUGAGACGGGAGCGACGAAGUACAGAUAAAAUACACUUUUUAGAUAUAGACCUCACCAUAAGGAAUGAGCAACUAACAACGAGCAUAUAUAGAAAACCAUCAUAUCAACCAGUCCUCAUCCCAGAAUGGUCCAACAAUCCUCCAUCGUUCAAAGCUUUGGCUUUUAACUUCUUCUUUAAAUGGGCAUACAUGUACAUCAUGGACCCACGAGAACUACAAAGAGAGCUGGACUAUACCUUCCAAGUAGGGCGCACAUGGAUAUAUGAACCAAUUUAUAAACAGAAGCCACCAUAAGAUGAAGAAGGUCGUACACAAAUGUAAUACAACGGAAGCAAGAAACAAUUGCGAUGAUGAUUAUUUGCCAGUCCCGUAUGGUACCACCAGAUUAAGAUCAGUUAAAAGUAUAGUAUGCAAAGCUAAGAAGAAAUUGGCCAUAAAAAGAGCCCCAACAGUGUUUAACAUCCUCAGGAAUGAUAAAGAACCCCAUGGCCAAUUAGAAAGGUUAGGCGUAUACGAAAUACU
rnacentral:lncRNA from 1 species